rnacentral:rRNA from 1 species
GAUGAACGCUGGCGGCGUGCCUAACACAUGCAAGUCAAGGACUCAAUUCCUUCGGGGAUUGGAUACUGGCGCACGGGUGAGUAACGCGUAGAUAAUCUGCCCCUUUCACAGGCAUAACGUUGGGAAACUGACGCUAAUACCUGAUGAGGCAUUUAUGUCAAAGAUUUUAUCGGAUAGGGAUGAGUCUGCGUCUGAUUAGCUAGUUGGUAAGGUAAUGGCUUACCAAGGCUACGAUCAGUAGCUGGUUUGAGAGGAUGAUCAGCCACACUGGAACUGAGACACGGUCCAGACUCCUACGGGAGGCAGCAGUGAGGAAUUUUGGGCAAUGGGGGCAACCCUGACCCAGCGACGCCGCGUGCAGGAUGAAGGCCCUUUGGGUUGUAAACUGCUUUCGGGUGAGAAGAAAAGCCGAAUCGUUCGGCUGGGACUGUAUCACCAGAAGAAGCACCGGCUAACUACGUGCCAGCAGCCGCGGUAAAU